rnacentral:rRNA from 1 species
UACGGAAGGGGCAAGCGUUGUUCGGAAUUAUUGGGCGUAAAGGGCGCGUAGGUGGUCUUGUAUGUCUACCGUGAAAGCACACGGCUUAACCGUGUAGAGUCGGUGGAAACUGCAGGACUUGAGGUUGGGAGGGGCUGGUGGAAUUCCCUGUGUAGCGGUGAAAUGCGUAGAGAUGGGGGAGAACACUUGUGGCGAAGGCGGCCAGCUGGACCAAUCCUGACACUGAGGCGCGACAGCGUGGGGAGCAAACAGG